UGCGUAGGCGGGUUUCUAAGUCAGAGGUGAAAGCCUGGAGCUCAACUCCAGAACUGCCUUUGAUACUGGAAGUCUUGAGUAUGGCAGAGGUGAGUGGAACUGCGAGUGUAGAGGUGAAAUGCGUAGAUAUAGGAGGAACACCAGUGGCGAAGGCGGCUUACUGGACGGUAACUGACGUUGAGGCUCGAAAGCGUGGGAGCAAACA
rnacentral:rRNA from 1 species